AGCCACAGCCAUAUCACCCUGCAGCCCAAGACCGGUUACUCACUGAAGCUAAGCAGGGCUGAGCCUGUUCAGUUCCUGGAUAGGAGACCACAUGGGAAACCUAGGUUGCUGUUGGAA
rnacentral:rRNA from 1 species